rnacentral:misc_RNA from 1 species
CUGUUCGCAGACGGUACACAUUGAUUUCCAAUCGUACUCCCGACGCUUGCAAUCUAGCCGAAGGAUACGAGAAGGAUAAUUCGAACGAUUUGCACCGGGAAUCGACAAAAAUUGUCUUCACCCGAGGAAACACAAAGUCGAACAGAGCGCUCUGAGCGCUAGUACGCGUACACAAGUUGUGCGGUACCAGAUAUACAUAUUAUAUUAAAACGUGUGGCCGACCGGGCAAAGACUCGGCGGCAUGGGGCAACACACGAAAAGAGCUACCAAUAACACAAAGC